ACAUGACUCUCGGCAACAGAUAUCUCGGCUCUCGCAUCGAUGAAGAACGUAGCGAAAUGCGAUACCUGGUGUGAAUUGCAGAAUCCCGCGAACCAUCAAGUCUUUGAACGCAAGUUGCGCCCGAGGCCACUCGGCCGAGGGCACGCCUGCCUGGGCGUCACGC
rnacentral:rRNA from 1 species